rnacentral:rRNA from 1 species
UACGUAGGGUGCGAGCGUUGUCCGGAAUUAUUGGGCGUAAAGAGCUCGUAGGCGGUUUGUUGCGUCUAUCGUGAAAACCUGCGGCUUAACUGUGGGCUUGCGGUGGAUACGGGCAGACUGGAGUACUGCAGGGGAGACUGGAAUUCCUGGUGUAGCGGUGGAAUGCGCAGAUAUUGGGAGGAACACCAGUGGCGAAAGCGACUUUCUGGGGCAUUCCUGACGCUGAGGUUCGAAAGCUCGGGGGAGCAAACAGG